GGGACACGUGGUAUCCUGUCUGAAUAUGGGGGGACCAUCCUCCAAGGCUAAAUACUCCUGACUGACCGAUAGUGAACCAGUACCGUGAGGGAAAGGCGAAAAGAACCCCGGCGAGGGGAGUGAAAAAGAACCUGAAACCGUGUACGUACAAGCAGUGGGAGCACGCUUAGGCGUGUGACUGCGUACCUUUUGUAUAAUGGGUCAGCGACUUAUAUUCUGUAGCAAGGUUAACCGAAUAGGGGAGCCGAAGGGAAACCGAGUCUUAACUGGGCGUUAAGUUGCAGGGUAUAGACCCGAAACCCGGUGAUCUAGCCAUGGGCAGGUUGAAGGUUGGGUAACACUAACUGGAGGACCGAACCGACUAAUGUUGAAAAAUUAGCGGAUGACUUGUGGCUGGGGGUGAAAGGCCAAUCAAACCGGGAGAUAGCUGGUUCUCCCCGAAAGCUAUUUAGGUAGCGCCUCGUGAAUUCAUCUCCGGGGGUAGAGCACUGUUUCGGCAAGGGGGUCAUCCCGACUUACCAACCCGAUGCAAACUGCGAAUACCGGAGAAUGUUAUCACGGGAGACACACGGCGGGUGCUAACGUCCGUCGUGAAGAGGGAAACAACCCAGACCGCCAGCUAAGGUCCCAAAGUCAUGGUUAAGUGGGAAACGAUGUGGGAAGGCCCAGACAGCCAGGAUGUUGGCUUAGAAGCAGCCAUCAUUUAAAGAAAGCGUAAUAGCUCACUGGUCGAGUCGGCCUGCGCGGAAGAUGUAACGGGGCUAAACCAUGCACCGAAGCUGCGGCAGCGACGCUUAUGCGUUGUUGGGUAGGGGAGCGUUCUGUAAGCCUGUGAAGGUGUGCUGUGAGGCAUGCUGGAGGUAUCAGAAGUGCGAAUGCUGACAUAAGUAACGAUAAAGCGGGUGAAAAGCCCGCUCGCCGGAAGACCAAGGGUUCCUGUCCAACGUUAAUCGGGGCAGGGUGAGUCGACCCCUAAGGCGAGGCCGAAAGGCGUAGUCGAUGGGAAACAGGUUAAUAUUCCUGUACUUGGUGUUACUGCGAAGGGGGGACGGAGAAGGCUAUGUUGGCCGGGCGACGGUUGUCCCGGUUUAAGCGUGUAGGCUGGUUUUCCAGGCAAAUCCGGAAAAUCAAGGCUGAGGCGUGAUGACGAGGCACUACGGUGCUGAAGCAACAAAUGCCCUGCUUCCAGGAAAAGCCUCUAAGCAUCAGGUAACAUCAAAUCGUACCCCAAACCGACACAGGUGGUCAGGUAGAGAAUACCAAGGCGCUUGAGAGAACUCGGGUGAAGGAACUAGGCAAAAUGGUGCCGUAACUUCGGGAGAAGGCACGCUGAUAUGUAGGUGAAGUCCCUCGCGGAUGGAGCUGAAAUCAGUCGAAGAUACCAGCUGGCUGCAACUGUUUAUUAAAAACACAGCACUGUGCAAACACGAAAGUGGACGUAUACGGUGUGACGCCU
rnacentral:rRNA from 1 species